UCGGCGUUCGGGGCCCCGGCCGUUGAGUCGUGUUGUGCAUUGCCAUCAUCAUCGUCGUCGUAGUCGUCGUCGUCACUGCCGUCGCUGCUGCUGCUCUCGCAUUGCUGUUAAAUAAGAAUAAGCCCGGUCCCCCACUACUUGGGGCCCAAAACGAAUAAAGGAGGCGGGACACCUGGCUGUGGUCGCAGUUUGCUCGAGGACCUCGCCGCCGCCGGUCAGCUUUUCGUCUACCAAAGAAGUCUCUCCCUUUCCGCUCCGAGUCUCGUCAGAUCCUUGUUCGUCCUCUUAGCGCGUGCAUUCCUAGAUUUCUCCUAGUCUCCCGUAGUCUCUCGUAGUGUUGUGCAGUGGACAUCGAGGAAGACUACGGAAAGCAUCCCUGAGGAAGAUUGACAAUAUAAAAAAUUCGGAGAAAGAUGAGACGCCGAUACAAAGAGAAGAAAGGGAAACGGAGAGUGAUCUAUCGCGAGUGAUGGACGACGAUCUAACGACGCGCCCGAUUUAUUUCCUGCGUGUGACGCACCUCGAUCGAGCGCGCCGCCCGGCACGUCACGUGCCGAAGAACAUACGACGAUCGAAGAGGAAGAUGAAGAUGAAGAGGAGGCAUUGUGGUGCGAGGAUCGAGAGCCGCGUCACGGCGGUUUGACACGGCGAUGAUCGACGUCGGCGGCGUCGAUCCGCAUCUCCGCAUCUCUGCAACACACCGGACGCCGCGUGAGUGACCAGCGUGGAAUUUCACCGGGAAGAGGAAGCGAUACGGACGGCACACGAGAACGUGUUCGUUGCUGGCUAGGACCUAUAGGUAAGGUUCGUGACGCUUCCGGAGGAACGAGCCACGUGGUCGGGCGACGAGAGUUGCCUUCGACGGGUUCGGCCCUGGGCUUCGACUCGCACGAUCCUGCAUCGCAAAUUGGAGCGGAAUGACUACCGUCGAGUCGAAAAGUAUAUAUCGUCGUCGGUGUUCGGCCGAUUCGUCGGCGCCCCGGAGACCGAACGACGCUACAAUGUUGCAUAAAAGAUAGGUCGAGAUAUGUGUCAAUAUUCAAUGGGAAUAUAUUUCACAAUAUUGCACUAGUCCCGGCCUAUCGGGAUGCAUUAUAUUUCGUCGAGGAGCGAAACAAAGGGGAAACCGAUGGGCGGACAGGUGGGAAAAGGAGAGAGAGAGGAAGAGUGGGAGAGAACGCUAUUUGGGAGGAAUUUGCCUCCUCGAGAAUAGCCGCGUUCGCGGUAGAAGAUCUUUCGAGGCUCGGGCAGGUGGAGAUGGGGGCAAUAUUUGUGAAUAGUUAAAAUCCAAAUUGCACUCGUCCCGGCCUGCUGGAUCUCCUCGACAUAUCGACGUGUUGGCCGAUUUCCGAUAAGGGUCUUGAUAGAAAAGCAUAUCCGGUGAAACCAGAUCUCGGUAGUUUUUUUUUUUACAUUAAUUCGCAACACCGGAAAGUCGUGAGUACCGGUUUGUAAAUUUAGUCAGUUUCACUUUCGAGAUUCGAAGAGAUUUUUUACACUAUAACAUUUUAUGGUAUUAAUACACGGGAUGUCUUAUUGAUUUUUAUUGUUGUAAUAUGUAUGUUAUACAACGCAAUGUUUUAAUUUUCCAAUUGUAGCAACAUUGAUUAUCAUUAUUGUUAUUGUCUUAAUGUUAACUACGUAAUUCUUUCAAUUCAUGUUUAAGCUACACAGAUGUAAAAACAAAGAAUGCCUUUUGUAUUUUGUAAAAGUGACAUUACUGCAUAAAGAUAGAAAACAAUAAAGAUUCAAUAAAAUCACGUACAAUCGCCUCGAAUAUGAAA